rnacentral:snoRNA from 1 species
CCUUUAUGAUGACUCCCGCAAACGUCUUAUGCUUCGUGUCAACGCCAGAACCUGAAAAGGUGAACCCACUGGUGUUGCCUUGGCAACAAGAGGAUAACUUGUUGGGGUUACCAACUGUCUGAAUGGA